rnacentral:rRNA from 1 species
CGCGAAUCGCCCUUCGGGGUGCACCAGGCGCGAAAACUUUACAAUGCUGGAAACAGCGAUAGGGGGACUUUGAGUGCCAGGAUACAAUCUUGGCUGUCGUAAUGCCUAAAAAGCAUUGCAUAGCAAGGGCCGGGCAAGACCGGUGCCAGCCGCCGCGGUAACACCGGCGGCUCGAGUGGUAACCGCUAUUAUUGGGUCUAAAGGGUCUGUAGCCGGCUGGAUAAGUCUCUUGGGAAAUCCGACAGCUUAACUGUCGGGCUUUCAGGAGAUACUGUCCGGCUCGAGACCGGGAGAGGUGAGAGGUACUUCAUGGGUAGGGGUGAAAUCUUGUAAUCCUUGAAGGACCACCAGUGGCGAAGGCGUCUCACCAGAACGGAUCUGACGGCAAGGGACGAAAGCUAGGGGCACGAACCGGAUUAGAUACCCGGGUAGUCCUAACCGUAAACGAUACUCGCUAGGUGUCAGCCACGGUGCGACCGUGGUUGGUGCCGUAGGGAAGCCGUGAAGCGAGCCACCUGGGAAGUACGGCCGCAAGGCUGAAACUUAAAGGAAUUGGCGGGGGAGCAC